UACGAAGGGGGCUAGCGUUGUUCGGAAUUACUGGGCGUAAAGCGCACGUAGGCGGCCAGGUAGGUCUGCUGUGAAAACUCGAGGCUUAACCUCGAGAUGUCAUCGGAAACCAUCUGGCUAGAGUCCGGAAGAGGAGAGUGGAAUUCCUGGUGUAGCGGUGAAAUGCGCAGAUAUCAGGAAGAACACCAAUGGCGAAAGCAGCUCUCUGGGACGGUACUGACGCUGAGACGCGAAAGCGUGGGGAGCGAACAGG
rnacentral:rRNA from 1 species